CCUACGGGGGGCAGCAGUGAGGAAUAUUGGUCAAUGGGCGCGAGCCUGAACCAGCCAAGUAGCGUGAAGGAUGACUGCCCUACGGGUUGUAAACUUCUUUUAUAAAGGAAUAAAGUGAGGCACGUGUGCCUUUUUGUAUGUACUUUAUGAAUAAGGAUCGGCUAACUCCGUGCCAGCAGCCGCGGUAAUACGGAGGAUCCGAGCGUUAUCCGGAUUUAUUGGGUUUAAAGGGUGCGCAGGCGGCGUGUCAAGUCAGCGGUAAAAUGUCGGGGCUCAACCCCGGCCGGCCGUUGAAACUGGCGUGG
rnacentral:rRNA from 1 species